AAUGAUUCCUCCACCGUCUUCUUCAAAGAACUCGAAUUUAUGCCCCAAAUUGAUAGUGAACGUCUCCUUCUUCGUUUCCUCCACCGCCUCAAAAGCUUAAUACGUUUUUUUCCCACGCACCGAUGACUCUUCAUAGAUAUUUCUUUUUUUUUUCCACCAGGCCAGAAGAACCUUCUGAUACACGAAGGGGUUUCUACUAAUUUAAGCCCUAGAUCGAUUGAAGCGUUUAAGUAAGGAAAAUACAAUUUCUUUUAUCUCUAUUCCGAUCAACACUUGACAAUGACGUCACCGUUGACUACCUGCUCCACCUCUGGCUUCACCGAUACGCCGGCGACAUGCACACCGUUUCGUUUUGAAGAUUUAUUAACACAUAUUUUGUUUUUUGUUUUUAGUUUGAUAACAAAUUCGACUAUAAAGUUUCUCUACAGUUACAAAUUCGCCUCAGGUAUGUAAUGUUAAUUAUACCACUGUCCAUUCGAACUGCAGUGUACAGUUUGAUGUGUGUUUCUCUUUUUUGUUGUUCUUUUUAUGCCCUGGUUUUUGGUUGUCUCUAAUUUCUUUCUAUUUGUGGUGGUUUUAUGUGAUUUCUGAAGAAUAAAAUCUAGGAUUCUAUAAACCGUUGUGUCUUCCUUCACAGCUUCUCGAAUGGGUCCAAGGGCAUACCUGAACAGAGAAAUGAUGGUGGAGAUGGAAGAGGGUUCUUUCAUAAAGAUAGCAAUAAUUGACAAGAAUACAAAGAAAUGGAGGAGCGAGGAGGGAUGCAGGUAUAGUCUUGUGGGGAGGUCAUUUUAUUCCCCUGAUCUUGGGCGUAGACAACCAUUGGGUGAAAGUUUGGAAAGCUGGCACGGUUUUUAUCAGAGCAUUAGGCGUACACAAGUGGAGCUUUCCCUGAAUAUUGUUCAGUUUGGUCAAUAUUUUCUCAUUGAUUUUAGUCUAUAGAAUCUUUAAUAAGGGCAAAACUUUACAAAAUUCAAAAAGUGCAGGGACAAAUUUUAUAAUUUACUAAAAAAUUUGCAACUUUUCUUUUGGUGUUCUUUGAAAUUUGUUGCCCUGAUGUUGUUUUAUGACAUGUUUGUGAUGCAUAUAUGCUUUCUAUUGCGUUCAUCGAGCCACUGCCUGUGAUCAACUUUCUAACACAGCUUCUGAAUUGACAUGUUUCUGCAAGUCCUUUAUCUGAUGCAGACCGAGUGAAGGUGGCAGCAGAACAAGUAGAUGUUGCCAUCAUGGAAAUGGAAAGAUUGAUGCAACCACAGGGACAAGAAAAAAAAAUUUACUUUGACUUUGUAUGUUCAAAGCGUAUUGUUGUCAAAUCAAAAUUGGUAUUGAUUUUGUUACAAAUUUGAUAAAAAGUUUUGUUGGGACAGUUUCCAAUAACUGCCAUUUGUGAGAUCAAAAUCUUAACGAAACUGCAUUCUCAUCUUAA